AUUGAACGCUGGCGGCAGGCCUAACACAUGCAAGUCGAGCGAGCGGCGGACGGGUGAGUAAUGUAUGGGGACUGCCCGAUAGAGGGGGAUAACUACUGGAAACGGUGGCUAAUACCGCAUACUAUCGGAUAACCCAUAUGGGAUUAGCUAGUAGGUGGGGUAAAGGCUCACCUAGGCGACGAUCUCUAGCUGGUCUGAGAGGAUGAUCAGCCAGACUGGGGCUGUGCCACGGCCCAGAGGCCGACGGAGUCAGCAGUGGGGAAUAUUGCAGAAUGGUCGCAAGGCUGAUGCAGACAUGGAGCUUGUAUGAAGCAAGCCGUAGGUUUGUCAAGUACGUUAAGAGGGGAGGCGUUGCCCGCAGAGGAAGCACCGGCUAACUCCGUGCCAGCAGCCGCGGUAAUUC
rnacentral:rRNA from 1 species